CAGUAUCAUUGUACACAAUCCCAAAGGUUGUAGAAAUAAGGUGUCACAGAGCUGGUUUUGAUGUAAUUCUCCAUUUCAUUAAACCAGUAUUCCUAAAAUAAGCUACUGAUGUUUUUUACAAUUUGCAUUUGCAAUCUGUUUCCUUUCUAGCGGAGGCAGAGACCUUGCCGGAGCUGGGAAAAUGGAACAGAGAGGAUUGUCUACUUAAGGACACCUUUGAGGCAGCAAGCUGGUGUGACAAGAGAUCCUUCAAGGGAGAACUUUCCCUUCCCCAGGUCAUCAGCAUGGACCAUGAAGCUGGUUUGAGGGCAGUGGAACUGCUAUACAUGUCUGAAGACCUGGAUGAAGAAGAGAUUCAUGAUCUCAGGGAGCCUUUUCUCUUCCUUUUUACUGUGCAGGCAGACUAUGAGGAGUUUUGUGUAGAGAUGAUGGAUAAACGCCAGCUGCAGGUGUUCUGUGGUUUUGAUCUGCAAUAAUUUUCUGUCCACAUAAUCUGAAGAGAUGUGUUAACAGGUCUGUCUCGUGUUAUGGUUUUGAUAAUUGUGUUCUGUUUCCUCAGUAAGUUGUUUUAAGGAGGUUUUCUUGUUUGGGUUCUUCUCAUGUCCUGUUUUUGGUUCUUUUGUUUGUAUGUGCUCCUGUGUUCACUUUUGUUUGUGUUAUUUUAUUUAUUCUUUUAAUCUUUUUUCUUGUGUUUUUGCUUGAUUUUACUUGUAUUGUUUUUAUAUAUAUUUUUAGUAUUCUUUGUGUUCUUAUGUCAGUCACUUUGUGACUGUUGUGUAAAGUGCUAUACAAAUAAAAUGUGCUAUGAAAUAUA